GCCCUCUUAGCUCAGCGGAUAGAGCAUCGGCCUCCGGAGCCGUGUGCGCAGGUUCGAGUCCUGCAGAGGGCG
rnacentral:tRNA from 1 species